rnacentral:misc_RNA from 1 species
UACGUAGGGUGCAAGCAUUAAUCGGAUUUAUUGGGCGUAAAGGGCGCGUAGGCGGGGGUGUAAGUCAACUGUGAAAUCCCGGGGCUCAACCUCGGAACAGCAUUUGAAACUACAUCCCUAGAGGGUAGGCGGAGAAAACGGAAUUCCACAAGUAGCGGUGAAAUGCGUAGAUAUGUGGAAGAACACCGGUGGCGAAGGCGGUUUUCUAGCUUAUACCUGACGCUGAGGCGCGAAAGCAAGGGGAGCAAACAGG